ACACAUGCAAGUCGAGGGGUAUAGUUCUUCGGAACUAGAGACCGGCGCACGGGUGCGUAACGCGUAUGCAAUCUACCUUGUACAGAGGGAUAGCCCAGAGAAAUUUGGAUUAAUACCUCAUAGUGUUAUUGAAUGGCAUCAUUUAAUAACUAAAGUUCUAACGGUACAAGAUGAGCAUGCGUCCCAUUAGUUAGUUGGUAAGGUAACGGCUUACCAAGACAAUGAUGGGUAGGGGUCCUGAGAGGGAGAUCCCCCACACUGGUACUGAGACACGGACCAGACUCCUACGGGAGGCAGCAGUGAGGAAUAUUGGACAAUGGGCGCAAGCCUGAUCCAGCCAUGCCGCGUGCAGGAUGACUGCCCUAUGGGUUGUAAACUGCUUUUAUACAGGAAGAAACACUGCUACGUGUAGCAGCUUGACGGUACUGUAGGAAUAAGGAUCGGCUAACUCCGUGCCAGCAGCCGCGGUAAUACGGAGGAUCCAAGCGUUAUCCGGAAUCAUUGGGUUUAAAGGGUCCGUAGGCGGCCUUAUAAGUCAGUGGUGAAAUCUCCUAGCUCAACUAGGAAACUGCCAUUGAUACUGUAGGGCUUGAAUUUUUAGGAAGUAACUAGAAUAUGUAGUGUAGCGGUGAAAUGCUUAGAUAUUACAUGGAAUACCAAUUGCGAAGGCAGGUUACUACUAAUGGAUUGACGCUGAUGGACGAAAGCGUGGGUAGCGAACAGGAUUAGAUACCCUGGUAGUCCACGCCGUAAACGAUGGAUACUAGCUGUUCGGUCUUCGGACUGAGUGGCUAAGCGAAAAGUGAUAAGUAUCCCACCUGGGGAGUACGCACGCAAGUGUGAAACUCAAAGGAAUUGACGGGGGCCCGCACAAGCGGUGGAGCAUGUGGUUUAAUUCGAUGAUACGCGAGGAACUUUAC
rnacentral:rRNA from 1 species